rnacentral:ncRNA from 1 species
UGACCUCGGAUCAGGUAGGAAUACCCGCUGAACUUAAGCAUAUCAAUAAGCGGAGGAAAAGAAACCAACAGGGAUUGCCCCAGUAACGGCGAGUGAAGCGGCAACAGCUCAAAUUUGAAAUCUGGCCCCCAGGGCCCGAGUUGUAAUUUGCAGAGGAUGCUUUCGGGCGCGGUGCCUUCCGAGUUCCCUGGAACGGGACGCCAUAGAGGGUGAGAGCCCCGUACGGUUGGACACCAAGCCUGUGUAAAGCUCCUUCGA